GACAGAGGAGCCAAGCGUUGUCCGGAUUGACUGGGCGUAAAGCGCACGCAGGCGGUCGUGCACGUGGGGUGUGAAAACUGGCGGCUUAACUGCCAGAGGCCACCUCAUACGGCGCGACUCGAGCCCUGCAGAGGUCCAUGGAAUUGCCGGUGUAGUGGUGAAAUGCGUAGAGAUCGGCAGGAACACCCAGGGGGGAAACCAGUGGACUGGGCAGGGAGCUGACGCUCAGGUGCGAAAGGCGUGGGGAGCGAACCGG
rnacentral:rRNA from 1 species